rnacentral:rRNA from 1 species
AGGACGAACGCUGGCGGCGUGCUUAAAACAUGCAAGUCGAACGAGACCUUUGGUCUAGUGGCGAACGGCGGAGUAAUACAUAAGCAACCUGCCUCAAAGACCGGGAUAGCCCCUCGAAAGAGGGAUUAAUACCGGAUGUGGCCUUUUGUGGGCAUCCACGAAAGAUUAAAACGAGUAAUCGGCUUUGAGAGGGGCUUGUGGCCUAUCAGCUUGUUGGUGGGGUAAUGGCCUACCAAGGCUUCGACGGGUAGCGGGUCUGAGAGGAUGAUCCGCCCGACUGGGACUGAGACACGGCCCAGACUCCUACGGGAGCAGCAGUUGGGAAUUGUUCGCAAUGGGCGCAAGCCUGACGACGCAACGCCGCGUGGGGGAUGGAAGGUCUUCGGAUUGUAAACCCCUGUUGGGUGGGACGAACAU